UUCGCAAUGCCCGAAAGGGUGACGAAGCGACGCCGCGUGGAUGAAGAAGGCCUUCGGGUUGUAAAAUCCUGUCAGGAGUUAAGAGAUAUAAGUUUGAGAAUAUCAAAUUUAUUUGACAAAGGCUCCAGAGGAAGCCGCGGCUAACUCUGUGCCAGCAGCCGCGGUAAUACAGAGGUGGCAAGCGUUGUUCGGAAUUAUUGGGCGUAAAGAGCACGUAGGUGGGUUUGUUAGUCAGAUGUGAAAGCCUUCUGUUCAACGGAAGAAUUGCAUCUGAAACUACAAAUCUUGAGUAUAGGAGGGGAGAGUGGAACUUCUGGUGGAGCGGUGAAAUGCGUAGAUAUCAGAAGGAACGCCGGCGGCGAAAGCGACUCUCUGGCCUAUAUCUGACACUGAGUGUGCGAAAGCUAGGGGAGCAAACGGGAUUAGAUACCCCGGUAGUCCUAGCCGUAAACGAUGGGCACUAAGUAGAGGGGUUUU
rnacentral:rRNA from 1 species